GACGACGCUGGCGGCGUGGAUUAGGCAUGCAAGUCGGACGGUAGGGCUUUAUCGUAAGAUAGAGUUUGAGAGUGGCGAACGGGUGAGUAACACGUAGGAAUCUACCCUUAAGACGGGGACAACCCAGGGAAACUUGGGCUAAUACCGGAUGUGAGCAACUUUUAGUUGUUUGAAAGGUGGCGUAAGCUGUCGCUUGGGGAUGAGCCUGCGUCUUAUUAGUUAGUUGGUGAGGUAACGGCUCACCUAGGCAAUGAUAGGUAGGCGGCCUUAACGGGUGGUCGCCCACACUGGGAUUGAGAUACGGCCCAGACUCCUACGGGAGGCAGCAGUCGAGAAUAGUCUACAAUGGUCGGAAGACUGAUAGUGCGACGCCGCGUGAACGAUGAAUCCCUUCGGGGUGUAAAGUUCUUUUAUAUGUGAGCAGUGCUUCUUAUAUUAACAGUAUGGGGAGAGAGAUAUUAGCAUAUGAAUAAGCAACGGCUAACUCCGUG
rnacentral:rRNA from 1 species